CAAAAAGUUUUGAAACAAAUAUGAAAUUUAAUAACAAAUAUUUAAAACCUCUGAAAAAACCAAAAAGAAUUAUUAAUGAGUUCUAAAGCCGUCGGCUGAAGUUUACCGUUAUCAUUGGAAAUUUCAAUAUUCAAGGCUUUAGGGUUGCCCCAGCAACGUUUACCCCACAAACGGAAUUGAAACAUUUUGUAUUUCCGUUGGUUCAAGAAGUCUUAGCAUUAAAAUAACAACAACAAAAUCAAUUUGUCUUGUAGGAAAACAAGAUCUUAAUCGUUAUAUCAAGACAAAACAAAACUUCAAGAAAAACAAAAAUAAUAAAAAAUGUGCAAUAAUUAAAAGUAAU
rnacentral:sRNA from 1 species